UACGGGGGGGGUAAGCGUUGUUCGGAAUUACUGGGCGUAAAGGGCUCGUAGGCGGCCAACUAAGUCGGACGUGAAAUCCCUCAGCUUAACUGGGGAACUGCGUCCGAUACUGGAUGGCUUGGAUUUGGGAGAGGGAUGCGGAAUUCCAGGUGUAGCGGUGAAAUGCGUAGAUAUCGAGAGGAACACCUGCGGCGAAGGCGGGUUGCUGGGCUGAUACUGACGCUGAGGCGCGAAAGCCAGGGGAGCGAACGGG
rnacentral:rRNA from 1 species